GAUGAACGCUGGCGGCGUGCUUAACACAUGCAAGUCGAACGAAGCGCUUUUAUUUGAUUUCUUCGGAAUGAAGAUUUUAGUGACUGAGUGGCGGACGGGUGAGUAACGCGUGGGUAACCUGCCUCAUACAGGGGGAUAACAGUUAGAAAUGACUGCUAAUACCGCAUAAGACCACAGUACCGCAUGGUACAGGGGUAAAAACUCCGGUGGUAUGAGAUGGACCCGCGUCUGAUUAGGUAGUUGGUGGGGUAACGGCCUACCAAGCCGACGAUCAGGAGCCGGCCUGAGAGGGUGACCGGCCACAUUGGGACUGAGACACGGCCCAAACUCCUACGGGAGGCAGCAGUGGGGAAUCUUGCACAAUGGGGGAAACCCUGAUGCAGCGACGCCGCGUGAGCGAUGAAGUAUUUCGGUAUGUAAAGCUCUAUCAGCAGGGAAGAAAAUGACGGUACCUGACUAAGAAGCACCGGCUAAAUACGUGCCAGCCGCCGCAGUAA
rnacentral:rRNA from 1 species